rnacentral:tRNA from 1 species
GAGGACGUAGCUUAGUGGUAGAGUAUUGGUUUGUCGCGCCAAGGGUCGCGGGUUCAAGUCCCGUCGUUCUCG